rnacentral:rRNA from 1 species
CCUACGGGCGGCAGCAGUGAGGAAUAUUGGUCAAUGGGCGCGAGCCUGAACCAGCCAAGUCGCGUGAGGGAGGACGGCCCUACGGGUUGUAAACCUCUUUUGCCGGGGAGCAACGGGCGUCACGUGUGGCGCCACUGAGAGUACCCGGAGAAAAAGCAUCGGCUAACUCCGUGCCAGCAGCCGCGGUAAUACGGAGGAUGCGAGCGUUAUCCGGAUUUAUUGGGUUUAAAGGGAGCGUAGAUGGGUUGUUAAGUCAGUUGUGAAAGUUUGCGGCUCAACCGUAAAAUUGCAAUUGAUACUGGCAGCCUUGAGUACAGUUGAGGUAGGCGGAAUUCGUGGUGUAGCGGUGAAAUGCUUAGAUAUCACGAAGAACUCCGAUUGCGAAGGCAGCCUACUAAACUGCCACUGACAUUGAUGCUCGAAAGUGUGGGUAUCAAACAGGAUUAGAUACCCUAGUAGUC